GUAUUGUAGGAAUUUGGGGUAUGGCUGGCAUAGGUAAAACAACUAUUGCUAGAGCUAUUUUCAACACUCUCUCAAAUCAAUUUGAUGCUUGCAUUUUUCUUGAGAAUAUAGGGGAAGAAUCAAAACAAUUUGAGGGGCUAGGUCAUUUAAGAGAAAAGCUUCUUUCUGAAUUGUUAGAGGAGGAAAAUUUACGUACUGUCACUCUCAAUGUAGAAUCUAUUUCCAUUAGGGAUAGGAUCCGCAACAAAAGGGUGUUGCUUGUCCUUGAUGAUUUGAAUGAUGUGGAUCAGCUAGAAGUCCUGAUUGGAAGAUGUGAUUUUGCUUUGGGAAGUAGAGUUAUUGUGACAUCUAGAGAUAGGCAUGUUCUUAAGAAUGCAGCUGAUGAAAUAUAUGAAAUUGAGGGAUUAGAUAAUGAUGAAGCUCUUCAAUUGUUCAGUUUGAAUGCUUUUAAGAAAAAUUAUCCCACUUCUGAUAGAUUGGAGCUAUCAACUAGGGUGGUGAACUAUGCUCAAGGAAACCCCUUGGCACUUAAAGUUUUGGGUUCCUUCCUGUUUGACAGAAGGAGAGAAGAUUGGGAAAGCGCAUUGGAUAAACUUGGAAGAAUUCCUCAGCGUAAAAUUUUUCAUAUGUUGAGAAU
rnacentral:misc_RNA from 1 species